rnacentral:rRNA from 1 species
AAGAUUCGAAAGCUGGCGUCUUCGGCGUCCGCAUUGUAAUCUCAAGAAGUGUUUUCCGCUUCGGACCAUGCCUAAGUCCCUUGGAAAAGGGCAUCAAAGAGGGUGAUAAUCCCGUACAUGGCAUGGAGCGCCCGAAGCUUUGUGAUACGCUUUCUAAGAGUCGAGUUGUUUGGGAAUGCAGCUCAAAAUGGGUGGUAAAUGCCAUCUAAGGCUAAAUAUUGGGGAGAGACCGAUAGCGAACAAGUACAGUGAUGGAAAGAUGAAAAGAACUUUGAAAAGAGAGUUAAACAGUACGUGAAAUUGCCAAAAGGGAAGGGUAGGAGGUCAGAGAUGCGGCCUGGGAUUCAGCCUUGCUUUUGCUUGGUGUUUUUCCCAGAUUGCAGGCCAACGUCGGUUUUGGGCACUGGAGAAGGGUGGAAGGAAUGUGGCACCUCUCGGGGUGUGUUAUAGCCUUCUACUGGAUACAGCGACCGGGACCGAGGACAGCAGCGUACUCGCAAGAGCGGGCCUUCGGGCACCUUUACGCUUAGGGCGUUGGCAUAAUGGCCCUCUACCACCCGUCUUG